GCCUCUGAUGAUGAUGAAAAAGUUACUUUCGUUCUUCUGAGAUUCUCUGUGCGGAAACCUAAACUGAACUGAAGAGGC